rnacentral:lncRNA from 1 species
ACACACACACACACACACACACACAUAUAUAUAUAUAUAUAUAUAUAUAUAUAUAUAUAUGUCUCGGAUCAGAUAAUGUUAGAUCUAAUAGAGGUACGGGUUGAAUAGAUAAGAAAGAUCAUAUCAGGAUUGGAUAAGAAACUCAUAAUAUAAAUAUUAUAAAAUAAUUAUUAUUGCGGUCAAGAGCUCAUGGCUCGGAUGGAUGGGAU